rnacentral:rRNA from 1 species
UACGGGGGGGGCAAGCGUUGUUCGGAAUUACUGGGCGUAAAGGGCUCGUAGACGGCCAACUAAGUCGGAUGUGAAAUCCCCAAGCUUAACUUGGGAACUGCAUCCGAUACUGGAUGGCUUGAAUCCGGGAGAGGGAUGCAGAAUUCCAGGUGUAGCGGUGAAAUGCGUAGAUAUCUGGAGGAAUACCGGUGGCGAAGGCGGCAUCCUGGACCGGCAUUGACGCUGAGGAGCGAAAGCUAGGGGAGCAAACGGG